rnacentral:sRNA from 1 species
UCUUCUCGAUUAACACUUUUGGAUCGCGGCGUGACACCCAUUUCCCGAUAGAAGUGCUGUUCCCUAUGAAUCCAAACUAAAAUCCGAAUAUCUAGGCCUAGAUAGCGAUAUGUUUUUCUGGUCUGCUCAACGCAUUUUCAUAUUUCAAACUGCUGGUCAAUGUUUAAUUUAUGUAUAAAAUAAUCACAUGUGAAGUUGAUGUAUAAAACUGUCACAAUUUGAAAGUUGGAGUAUUAAAUGACAUUUUUCUCAUUUCGAUUAUGGUGAAACGACGUUGUAUUGGAAACUAAAAGAGACUAGUUAACGGAUGUUAUCGGAUCUGUUAGCGGUAGAUAACGUCGUGUGUAUUUUGGCAUGAUCAACAAAUAAUUUUGUAUGAAAUGGUGCCCGAUCAACGUAUUUUUAUAUAUUAAAUGGCCAUAUACGAAGUUCACAUAUUUAAAAUAAUUACUUUUUAAAAUUUCGCGUAUAAAAUGCAAUAUUUCUUAAUAAAAAAAUAAAUAUCUGCUUUUUUGGGUUUUUUC